rnacentral:pre_miRNA from 1 species
AUUCUACUCCCUCCGUUGCACAAUACAUGCCUUCUAUUUGUCAAAAUAUAUAUGUAUCUAGACAUGUCUUAGUAUAUAGGUACAUACAUUUUUGGACAAAUGGAAGUCAAGUAUUUUGGAACGGAAGGAGUACACA